UCUAGAGGAAAAAAGGUAAUACUUUUUAAGGAAACCUUUAUUUAUUGGCGGCCUAUUUCCUUAUUAGAGGAACUCGUCUCAUAAUCGUCACUCCUCGUUAACUUUUACUUUUUUUUUUCUCUUAUACCGCCGUCUUCAGGUUCAAUUUUAUUUUUCAGGAAAAAAAUAUUUUACUAAGUCAGGUAAAGGUGAGGAUCAUAAAAAAGAGAAGAUAAGUUACUAAUGGAAAUUAUCAUUGGAUAUUCUCUUAACUUUUUUAUUGAAAC
rnacentral:rRNA from 1 species